rnacentral:rRNA from 1 species
AGAGUUUGAUCAUGGCUCAGGAUGAACGCUAGCUACAGGCUUAACACAUGCAAGUCGAGGGGAAACGACAUCGAAAGCUUGCUUUUGAUGGGCGUCGACCGGCGCACGGGUGAGUAACGCGUAUCCAACCUGCCCACCACUUGGGGAUAACCUUGCGAAAGUAAGACUAAUACCCAAUGACGUCUCUAGAAGACAUCUGAAGGAGAUUAAGAUUUAUCGGUGAUGGAUGGGGAUGCGUCUGAUUAGCUUGUUGGCGGGGUAACGGCCCACCAAGGCGACGAUCAGUAGGGGUUCUGGAGAGGAAGGUCCCCCAUAUUGGAACUGAGACACGGUACCAAACUCCUACGGGAGGCA